rnacentral:rRNA from 1 species
AGGGGCAGCGGGUAGAUGAGCUUGCUCAUUUAUGCCGGCGACCGGCGCACGGGUGAGUAACACGUAUGCAACCUGCCCGUCUCAGGGGGAUAAUCGUCGGAAACGGCGUCUAAUACCCCGUAUGAAGCCGGACGGCAUCGUCUGGUUUUGAAAGAAUAUCGGAGACGGAUGGGCAUGCGGCGCAUUAGCUAGUUGGCGGGGUAACGGCCCACCAAGGCGACGAUGCGUAGGGGUUCUGAGAGGAAGGUCCCCCACACUGGUACUGAGACACGGACCAGACUCCUACGGGAGGCAGCAGUGAGGAAUAUUGGUCAAUGGGCGAGAGCCUGUACCAGCCAAGUCGCGUGAGGGAGUACUGCCCUAUGGGUUGUAAACCUCUUUUGUCGGGGAGCAAAAGCCGGACGUGUCCGGCUGUGAGAGUACCCGAAGAAAAAGCAUCGGCUAACUCCGUGCCAGCAGCCGCGGUAAUACGGAGGAUGCGAGCGUUAUCCGGAUUUAUUGGGUUUAAAGGGUGCGCAGGCGGAUUUUUAAGUCAGCGGUCAAAUCGUGGGGCUCAACCCCAUCCAGCCGUUGAAACUGGGGAUCUAGAGUGUGCGAGAGGUAUGCGGAAUGCGUGGUGUAGCGGUGGAAUGCAUAGAUAUCACGCAGAACCCCGAUUGCGAAGGCAGCAUACCGGUGCACAACUGACGCUCAGGCACGAAAGCGUGGGUAUCGAACAGGAUUAGAUACCCUGGUAGUCCACGCAGUACACGAUGAAUGCUACCUG